UUCGCAGGCUCCAGGCCCUUUGUGUGGUCUGCUGGCUCAGGCCUGCUUGAGGAAGCCUGAAAUAGCCCCUAGGCCUGCAACUUUUUGGUUGUUGACAAACUCAGGUGCAUGAAAGUUCCUGGUUCACGGGAGGAGAAGAACUCAAGAAGGAAGGAUCUAUGAUGGCUCUGGAAAAUAGAACUCUCAAGAGAGUAAACUCCUAUGGCCCGUGUAGUUUGGCACCUUCUCGGCGAGGUAUAGACUUAAAGAGCUGAGAAGUGAAAUGCCUUGUUAGGUAUUACACAGCUGAAGUGAGACUUGAACCCCUAUUUUCUUGGCUUUAAAUCUGGCUUUCUACCCAUUAUACUGCACUAUAUACAUCUCAGACACAUGGUGUUUAAUAAAUACUUGCUGCUUGGUUAAUUCACAAUGAUAAUUGUGAAUGUAGGCUGCAGUUAUGGAUGGA